AACGAACGCUGGCGGCAUGCCUAACACAUGCAAGUCGAACGAGACCUUCGGGUCUAGUGGCGCACGGGUGCGUAACGCGUGGGAACCUGCCCUUAGGUUCGGAAUAACUCCCCGAAAGGGGUGCUAAUACCGGAUAAUGUCUUCGGACCAAAGAUUUAUCGCCUUUGGAUGGGCCCGCGUUGGAUUAGCUAGUUGGUAGGGCAAAAGCCUACCAAGGCGACGAUCCAUAGCUGGUCUGAGAGGAUGAUCAGCCACACUGGGACUGAGACACGGCCCAGACUCCUACGGGAGGCAGCAGUGGGGAAUAUUGGACAAUGGGCGAAGGCCUGAUCCAGCAAUGCCGCGUGAGUGAUGAAGGCCUUAGGGUUGUAAAGCUCUUUUACCCGGGAUGAUAAUGACAGUACCGGGAGAAUAAGCUCCGGCUAACUCCGUG
rnacentral:rRNA from 1 species